rnacentral:rRNA from 1 species
UACGUAGGGUGCAAGCGUUGUCCGGAAUUAUUGGGCGUAAAGAGCUCGUAGGCGGUCUGUCGCGUCGGCUGUGAAAACCCGGGGCUCAACCCCGGGCCUGCAGUCGAUACGGGCAGACUAGAGUGCGGUAGGGGAGACUGGAAUUCCUGGUGUAGCGGUGAAAUGCGCAGAUAUCAGGAGGAACACCGAUGGCGAAGGCAGGUCUCUGGGCCACUACUGACGCUGAGAAGCGAAAGCAUGGGGAGCAAACAGG